rnacentral:lncRNA from 1 species
UCAAAUUCGACUUGAAAUUAAUUUCGAGCCUAAAUUUAAGCUCAAGCUUGGUUUGAAAUUAAUUCGAGCCGAGCUUGAGCGAGCCUAAUUUCGAGUCGAGCGAGCUCGAGCCCUAAACGAGCCGCUUGAAAUUCUCAACAUCAUACGAUCAAUAGUUUAAUUUGUAUAGAACAUUAUCUAUAAUUUAAUACAAAAAUAUGUCUAAUAGUUCAAAGUACCAAAUAAUUAUAUGAAAUAUGGUAUUAUAAUAUAAAAAAUAAUAAUUUAUGAGUUGAAUAUCUAAUCUUUUCAGCCUCACAUGUCUUCUCUUCCGCCUUCAAUCUCCAUAUUAUUUAUUUUUAUUUAUGCGGUCAAAAAUAAAUAUUGGAUUAAGCUAUCCAAUCAUAUAUAACUAAAAUUAAAAUUUUAUAUAAAUAAUAAUUUUUUACUUUAAAAAUAUUCUGUAUAUUUUCUCAAGCAUACAAUUAAUAGUAAGGUAGGCAAUGAUGGACAUAUGCUGUUGCUUGGUAACUUGGAGAGCUUCCGGCUUAGCCACUAAAGGUGAGAGACAGAGAAAAAGAGAAAGAGAGAAACAUAUCGAAAAUUUAGAGCUCCGUGAAAGAAAGAAAGAAAGAAAGAGAAGAAGUAUAAAUUUAGUGAAAUUUUGCUCUUUAUUUAUUUGUCUAUUGGGUUUGUUUUUAUGGACCGACAACAUUGGCCAAAUUUUAACUAAACUCAGCUUAUUCGCUCAGCCUAUAUAUAAUUAAAAUAUAUUAUAUUUAUAUAUUUUUAAUAUAUAUAUAUAUAUAUAUAUAUAUAUAUAUAUAUAUAUAUAUAGAGCAGGGCUGCUGUGCUCUCAGGAGCACGUUGGCCUCCGUGCUCCUGAGCCGUUUUCGAUGAUGGAGUUUCCGAAUCGACGAUCGGCUCCAUUCAACUUGAUCUAGCAUAUUUGAAGUUUCUAGAAAAUAAUUUUUACGAUUUUUUGAUAUCAUUUACCUAGCAAUCGAAAGAAUUCAAAAUCAAUAAUUUUUAACGGCUGAAAAUAAAAAUUUUAUAAAAAGUGUUGAUAUAGCACUAAAAUUUUCGAUCAGAAAUAUUGAUCUUGUUAUAGAUAGUAUAAAAAAUUUUGUAUCAAAAUUUCAUCUGAUUUGAAUACUUCUACAUCGUUAAACUUGAAAACAGUAGAUAUUAACCAUUAAAAAUUAUGGAUUUUGAAUCCUUUCGAUCACUAGGUAAAUGAUAUCAAAAAAUCGCAAAAAUUAUUUUCUAGAAACUUCAAAUGCGCUA